AUGCAGGCGGCGCUGCGGCAGCAUCUCGGCGGGGCGCGGUGGGCGCUCCGCGUUUCCGAGGCGGCUCUGCGGCCUCGCUGCGUCGGGCCGGCCUCUCCCCCGGCCCCGCGCUGCUGGAGCUGCGGCGGCGCCCUCCCCAGCGCCGACGGACUGCCUCACUUCUGCCCCGGCUGCCGGGCCCUGCAGCCGCCGGGGCCUCGGCCUGACCUCUUCCGCCUCAUGGACUGUGACCGCUCCUUCCGCCUCGACGUGCAGCGGCUGCAGCGGCGCUUUCGGAGCCUGCAGCGCGCCCUUCACCCUGACCGCUUCGGCCAGAGGCCGCCGAAAGAACAGCACUACUCAGAGCAACACUCUUCCUUGGUUAACAAGGCCUAUCAAACCCUCCUGAAUCCUCUCAGCCGCGGCCUCUAUCUACUGGAGCUGAAUGGAGUAGAACCAGCACAAGAGACAGACUGUGAUGCAGAUUCAGAGUUUCUCACGGAAAUAAUGGAAAUCAAUGAGAAAUUAGCAGAGUCUAAAAAUGAGGAUAUCCUUGAAGAAACUGAAACUUUAAUUAAAGUAAAACGAGAAGAAUUGACCAAAGAGGUGACCGCAGCUUUUGAAAGAGAAAAGACUUGUUUUUUGUCUCAGGAAUUACGAGGAAGAUGAAAGCAGCAACUAAGGAGCACUCCAGUAAGAACACCAGAAAACAAUACUGCUUCAGUCCUUUCACUAUAAAGGGAAAGAGCAUUCCAAUUGUGAAGAAACUAAUCCAACUAAUAGUCCCUCCUAUCAUGUAAGCAGCAGGACGUGAAGACUGUAUAAAUAAUUCAGCUGUCAGGGUAUUUGUUAUGCCACCUGGGGGGGAAUGAGUUUCGGAAACAGAAUGGGUAAUUGUAAACGUCUGCAGAGUACUUCUGAUGCCAGAAAAAUUGAGUUGCUUUUCAAUAUGCCACUAGUUGAUCCCAUUCUAUUAUU